UGUUCAGAGUCCUUGGGACAAAUAUAAGGACUGGAGGAGCGGCACGGUGAGAGGAGACAAGGAGCGAUCGGAGGUGGCAGAAAGUGCCGCAGCAGUUGCUUUGUCAACAUAGACAGAAGAAAAGAAAGUAAGAAAGGAAAGAACAGGAACGAUGAUGACUGCUGCAAAUUACGAAACAUACAGAGUUCCAUCAAGAUGUGCAGAUGUUCUAUACCCAUCAGACUUUGACACCUGAAGACUUACACUCAGAGGACCAGAUGUGCAGGAGAUUGCUGGAUUAAGGCAGAGGCAGGCAGCAGUUGGUAGUUGUAACAUAAAUUAGGGCUAAUUCAAUUGACCACAAGUUCAUGAAGGCUGUAUGCUGCACUUACAGAACCACCGGACUCUGGGAUUUGCGAUGGCAACUCGUCCCCUUCACAGUUCAUUGGAUUGAUCUCAUAGAAUGCUUUUUCACCAAUGGUUAUCAAUGGUAGGCAGUAUAAGCCUCAAGUAUCAAUCAGUUUUAGUUCUUAUAACUAGUUAUAGAAAAGUAGAAAUCAACUAAAUAAUUUCAGAGAUGAAUAAAAUAAGUAAUUAAAGACUUGAUCAACUUAUACAAAUUUGCUUAUCUAUAUUUUCUUUCUGUUCCCAUCAACCUUAUUCACACAAAGAUGGUAUUUUCUAUAUCUAAACUCAGAAAGAAGAGAGAGCCAUUCUUUUGGAGUAGAAUCAUCAAAAAACACACUUAUAUUAUUAACAUAAAACACUAGAUGCAUACAAAACAAUGGAAAUCCAAUUAGAGAGACGAUAUAAGCUUACGCCUGCUCCACAGUUUCAUGGGUAUCCUUCCAAUCUUGUGACAUUUCACACAAAGUGUGAGUAGGCAGCACUUGGGAAUAAUAAACAAUAUUAACAGGAAAUGUUUCAGUCCUUUAUCAGCACUUUCAUAAGAGAUGUAUAGAAUUUUUGCUUAAAAUUCUUAUCAAGUACUAUUAAUAAUAAUAAUAAUAAUAAUAAUAAUACUUCUUAAGGUGUCAUACCACCCUACUUCUGAAGGCUGUAAGUCGGUACUCCAAGCAUGGCAAAGUCGCGUGCCGCCAAAAAGGGGGCAUGACCUGUUGGAAAGGGGGUGUGGCCUAAUGUGAAUGACACGACCACGAUCCACGCCUCCCAUUUUUGUCACAGUUGGGGCGCACCCAGCACUCUGUGAGCUGCUGGCCAUGCCCCCAG